UGGGGAAUCUUGCGCAAUGGGCGAAAGCCUGACGCAGCGACGCCGCGUGGGUGAUGAAGGCCUUCGGGUCGUAAAGCCCUUUCGACCGGGAAGAACGACCCCGCGGUGAACAGCCGUGGGGAGUGACGGUACCGGAAGAAGAAGCACCGGCUAACUCUAUGCCAGCAGCCGCGGUAAUACAGAGGGUGCAAGCGUUGUUCGGAAUUACUGGGCGUAAAGCGCACGUAGGCGGGAUGGCAAGUCGGGUGUGAAAGCCCUCGGCUCAACCGAGGAAGUGCACUCAGAACUGCCGUUCUUGAGUGUCGGAGAGGGUGGCGGAAUUCCCGGUGUAGAGGUGAAAUUCGUAGAUAUCGGGAGGAACACCAGUGGCGAAGGCGGCCACCUGGCCGACAACUGACGCUGAGGCGCGAAAGCGUGGGGAGCAAACAGGAUUAGAUACC
rnacentral:rRNA from 1 species